GCACAAGCGGUGGAGCAUGUGGUUUAAUUCGAAGCAACGCGCAGAACCUUACCUGGGUUUGAAAUCCUACGAAUCCUGCAGAGAUGUGGGAGUGUCCUUCGGGAAAUGUAGAGACAGGCGCUGCAUGGCUGUCGUCAGCUCGUGUUGUGAAAUGUUGGGUUAAGUCUCGCAACGAGCGCAACCCCUGUCCUUAGUUGCCAGCAUUAAGUUGGGCACUCUAAGGAGACUGCCAGGGUUAACCUGGAGGAAGGUGGGGAUGACGUCAAGUCCUCAUGGCCCUUAUGUCCAGGGCUACACACGUGAUACAAUGGUUAGUAUAGAGGGAUGCGAGCCCGUGAGGGGGAGCCAAUCUCAAAAAGCUAAUCUCAGUCCGGAUUGGAGUCUGCAACUCGACUCCAUGAAGUUGGAAUCGCUAGUAAUCGCAGAUCAGCACGCUGCGGUGAAUACGUUCCCGGGC
rnacentral:rRNA from 1 species